rnacentral:rRNA from 1 species
AACGAACGCUGGCGGCAGGCCUAACACAUGCAAGUCGAACGCCGUAGCAAUACGGAGUGGCAGACGGGUGAGUAACGCGUGGGAACAUGCCCUUCGGUUCGGAAUAACUCAGGGAAACUUGAGCUAAUACCGGAUACGUCCAAGGCUUGCCUUGGAGAAAGAUUUAUCGCCGGAGGAUUGGCCCGCGUCUGAUUAGCUAGUUGGUGGGGUAAUGGCUCACCAAGGCGACGAUCAGUAGCUGGUCUGAGAGGAUGAUCAGCCACAUUGGGACUGAGACACGGCCCAAACUCCUACGGGAGGCAGCAGUGGGGAAUAUUGGACAAUGGGCGCAAGCCUGAUCCAGCCAUGCCGCGUGAGUGAUGAAGGCCCUAGGGUUGUAAAGCUCUUUUGCCCGGGAAGAUAAUGACGGUACCGGGAGAAUAAGCCCCGGCUAACUUCGUGCCAGCAGCCGCAGUAA